rnacentral:tRNA from 2 species
GCGCCUGUAGCUCAGUGGAUAGAGCAUCUGCCUCCGGAGCAGAAGGUCGGGGGUUCGAAUCCCUUCAGGCGCACCA